rnacentral:lncRNA from 1 species
AAAAUCUGUGAUUCACAUACUAGAAACUGAAGAGGAAAACCAGUUUGUUGUGCCUCCUAAUCCAUUUCACUCAACAACUUCCACUACAGCUAAGGGACUCAGUUCCACAAGACGACCUUUGCAGUUGGAAGUAAUUCAGGAAUGAUUUACAGGCAAAAAAAAAUAAUGUUUAACUUCUAGAAAAUUAUAGUAUAUUAUUUUAUGAAAUAUGACGAAAUCAAUAACAUCUAGUCUAUAAAGGUAUUUUGUAGUGUUAGAAACAAUAAUGAAAUAAAGGAAAUUCUUAAACUAGAGGUAGAGUAUUUUGUCAAGUAUUCGUCUCAUUCCACUGUAAGAAAAAAAAAAUAUUUCCCAAAGAUUAUUUAGCAAAGAUUAAUAUAAUUCUAGGAGAAGAUUUUUUAACCUGUGUAGAAAAAAUAAAUUACCUGAUUGAUGAUGGUUUUGCUAU